CUCAACCGCAAGGAGGGGGAUGCCUAAGGCAGGGCUAGUGACUGGGGUGAAGUCGUAACAAGGUAGCCGUACCGGAAGGUGUGGCUGGAUCACCUCCUUAAAGGGAGACCUAAUUCGGGUAUGGGAUGAAAAAAAAGUAGUCCCUACCAAGAAUCAAUCCCAAAAGGUCGGAGCGAGGCAUAAGGCUUUCAAACUAGGUUCUGGGUUCACACAAGACCUGAAUCAGGAACAAGGGCUAUUAGCUCAGGUGGUUAGAGCGCACCCCUGAUAAGGGUGAGGUCCCUGGUUCGAGUCCAGGAUGGCCCACCUGCACAGGUGGCAAAAACAAGAGAAGCGAGGAAUCAGCACCUUAUCUUAUCUAUAUAUAAAUACAAGUAAGAGAGAAUGCUGGCUCUGAGUAAAGAGUCCAGAGGAACCUUGAAAACUGCAUAGAGCUAGGUGAAAAAGCCAAAAAAGAAGACCGCAAGGUCAAGCUAAUAAGGGCUAACGGUG
rnacentral:misc_RNA from 1 species